CCUACGGGAGGCAGCAGUAGGGAAUCUUUCACAAUGGGCGAAAGCCUGAUGGAGCAACGCCGCGUGCAGGAUGAAGGCCUUCGGGUUGUAAACUGCUUUUAUAAGCGAGAAAUAUGAUGGUAACUUAUGAAUAAGGAUCGGCUAACUACGUGCCAGCAGCCGCGGUCAUACGUAGGAUCCGAGCAUUAUCCGGAGGGACUGGGUGUAAAGAGUUGCGUAGGUGGCAUAAUAAGUAGCUAGUGAAAUCUGGUGGCUCAACCAUUCAGACUAUUAGCUAAACUGUUAAGCUCGAGACCGUUAGGGGUAACUGGAAUUUCUAGUGUAGGAGUGAAAUCCGUAGAUAUUAGAAGGAACACCAAUAGCGUAGGCAGGUUGCUGGGACGGUUCUGACACUAAGGCACGAAAGCGUAGGGAGCAAACGGGAUUAGAUACCCCAGUAGUC
rnacentral:rRNA from 1 species